rnacentral:tRNA from 1 species
GGAGGGGUACCCAAGCGGUCAACGGGGGCAGACUGUAAAUCUGCUGGCUUUGCCUUCGCAGGUUCGAAUCCUGCCCCCUCCACCA